GCCUCACAGGUGGAGGAUUGGUCAGGCCAAAAUAAAAAAAAAAAAAAAAAAAGUGAAACUUUUCCCUGACCAAUCGUCUCAGCUGAACCUCCAGGCUGUGUUUUCAUUAUUAUUUUCUGUCAGUGUGUGAAGCUCUUUCUGCUACAGUGUAUAAGGAACGUUUUGUUUAAAUGAAGAAUGUAUUCAUUAACUCUAUACACAUUUGUCCUAUUCACUUCCUGUUUUACUGCAAAUUAGCUUGUUAUCAUUGUGGCUAGCUGGCUGGCAAACAUAUAUAUGUACAUAUCAUUACGUUUGUGAUUCAGUGUAUUGCUGUGAUCAACAAAAAGAAAAGGGCAAAGUGAAAUAGUGUGUCCAUUGUUUUUUUUUAAUCGCAAUCAAAUUGUGUAAUCUGUAGUGAAUAACAUUUAAAAUGUUCUAGUUACAGCCUGUACCAUAACCAACAGUGACUCUGAAUGUUUUCCUCAGAUGUGACGCAAAUUAAAAUCUUAGUCGUUUUUGCACAGAUCUGUCACAUGAAGGCAAAUAUGCCGCCUAAUAUGUUAUCUGCUUGUAACACAUGUGUAACACCCGUCACACUGACCCACAUGUACAUACAAAGGGACUGCGACAGAAAAGAUGACACACAUGUAGAAUUGUUGAAGAAGUUGAUUGAUGAAGAACCGUCAGACACUUGAUUUGUUGCCAAUUUUGGCUCUGGCAAGUUUGCUCAUCAAGAUAAGUGCAUCCAGCUCUCUUCAUCCUGAGCUGUCCGGUCCUGACAUGGCCUACGUCGGCACAAGGGUGGUUUACCGCUGUAAGGCGCCUAAUUCCUCUCCACCAGUCAUCUAUGAGCUGAUGAAGGAUGGCGAUUUGUUUAACGCACACACUGAUCAUGAGGGAGACCAGCCUCCAUCGUUCUCCCAGAAGGUGAUUGCAUCAUCAGAUGGGUCAUACCACUGCAAAGUGACAGCUGGGGGAAGCACGGCAGUGAGCAACAGCAUCAAGCUGAGUGUUGUCAUUCCAGCAUCAAACACCAGAGUCACCUCGGAGCCCUUCCCCCCGGUGGCAUAUGAGGGGUCCCGUGUCAUCCUGGCGUGUGAUGUCAAAACAGGGUCCCACCUCUCCUACACCUGGUUUUUCAACAGAAAGGAAGUGACACCUUCAACCUCUACUUCCUUCCACCUCACCGGGAACAAGCUUGUGAUGGAGAAAGUGACUCCGGAGCAGGCUGGAGAUUAUUCUUGCAUGGCCUGGUCCAGUGUGCAGAACAUCAGGAGGUUUUCCAGUAGUGCAGAAGUCCAGGUGAUCAUCAAAAUCUACGUUUCGCAACCAAAGAUCUCCUUCACCGUUUUUAAAGAGGGCGCCAGUUACCGUGGCAAUGUGACCUGCUUGUCAUCAAGAGGGAGUCUUCCAGUAAACUUCUCUCUUUUGGUGGAUGGCAAGGAAGAAGGUUCUGUCACAGUAACUGAAUCCCUCACUGCGUGGUUCUCUGUCGCUGUGGUACCGGGUCAGGACAUGGGUGAGGCUCGAUGCCGGGUAAAGACAGAGGUGCAGGAACUGAUGAGUGAGCCUGUAACUCUGGAAGUAGUCCCAGUGGGAGGUGAUGUGAAGGUGGAGGUGGAGUAUCUUUACACAUCUCAUUCCAAACUGGCUGCUGCCAGGCUGAGCUGUCACAUCAGCAGAGGAACUUUCCCUCACAUCUCCUGGCUACUGAACGAUUCUGUCCUCCUGGAUUCCCACCUUCAGCCUGUCCUGCCAUGCUCUGCCCUCAUCUACAACAGACAAACCCUCAUCCUCACUGAGCUCGGCCCAGAGGAGUCGGGGUAUUACCACUGCAGGGCCAGAGACAGCUACGAUGAGUCUGGGCCAUGGGUGGAGAGUGCACCCGAGCUGGUCCAAGUCACAGAGGCAUUGAUGAGCACCUUGGAGGUCAUCCCCAUAGUCUUCUGCUGCUUCCUCCUCCUGAUGCUGGCACUGAGCAUCCCCUGUGUGUACAAGAUGUUUGACUGCAAGAAAGGUGUGUGUGUGUGAGGGAGUAACACUAAAUUUAAUAAUUUUAUAUUAAAUAUGUUUCCACUUCCUUUUUUGCAGCCCAUCUUCACAGUGUUCCUCC
ensembl:lncRNA